rnacentral:misc_RNA from 1 species
AUGGAUAAGGAACUGUUGCAGCAUCCCAUAAUGGCUCGGUCAAUGCACCACUUUCAACCAGACAAAACAAGUGCUGUAACACUAAGAAGCCAGGUUUGUGAAAAGUAUCUGUUAAGACGGCAAAUAUUUCCUGCUCAAUUGUGAGAAAGUACGUGCGAUAGAACUGGUUACAGAAUUCAGAAGCCUGAAAGUUCUUGAGCAUCUCCAACAGAAGGUUCAGACCAGUUUCAGCAAUAUUUCUUUCUGUAUGCCGAAAUGCCCAUAUGAUUGAAUCCAUCACAAGCUUCAGUUGCUGACUCGACAACAGAAUCAAAGCAGGAAAACAAUGUGUUGCAAUGGCCCGAAGUAAUGAAAAGAACUUGAGGCGGUGCUCAGGAUAAUCUUCAAAAUUUUUGGUUAUCAUCUCAAGUGUACAUUGGAAAACUGCUUCAAAUAUCCGUGGCACAUCAUCUAUCAUUGCAGCUUUGUACUUGUUUAUAAUUGUUGCAAAAAGUGACAGAACUUCAGAUUCUCUAGCAUCAGGCAAAUUCCUAGCAUAGUCACCAAGAACCGGAUCCAUCAUUGGGGGAACAAAUUGCUUCCCAAUCUGUGGCUGUUCUUCAGCCUUGUCCAAAAAUGUCUCAAUGAGCUUAAGGGUCUCUCUCUUAACCGCUC